GACGAACGCUGGCGGCGUGCUUAACACAUGCAAGUCGAACGGAAAGGCCCUGCUUUUGUGGGGUGCUCGAGUGGCGAACGGGUGAGUAACACGUGAGUAACCUGCCCUUGACUUUGGGAUAACUUCAGGAAACUGGGGCUAAUACCGGAUAGGAGCUCCUGCUGCAUGGUGGGGGUUGGAAAGUUUCGGCGGUUGGGGAUGGACUCGCGGCUUAUCAGCUUGUUGGUGGGGUAGUGGCUUACCAAGGCUUUGACGGGUAGCCGGCCUGAGAGGGUGACCGGCAACAUUGGGACUGAGAUACGGCCCAGACUCCUACGGGAGGUAGCAGUGGGGAAUAUUGCACAAUGGGCGGAAGCCUGAUGCAGCAACGCCGCGUGCGGGAUGACGGCCUUCGGGUUGUAAACCGCUUUCGCCUGUGACGAAGCGUGAGUGACGGUAAUGGGUAAAGAAGCACCGGCUAACUACGUG
rnacentral:rRNA from 1 species